ensembl:lncRNA
GGCGGCGGUUGGCGGAGCAGGGGGGCUGCUGGGGGCCGCGCCUGUCAGGCCGCGUUCGUCAGUGGGCGGCCGGCGCUGAGGGGAGCCAGAGAUUUGCCUGGGUUUGUUCCUGAAGGACUGGUGUGAGUGAGAGGUCUCAAGUGACCAUGGUGGUUUAAAGAAUGAUCUUGUCACGUGACUCUGAAGUAGAGCAAGAGUUGCAGCAGACUUCAACUUUCAGUCCUACAUUGCCUGUUCAAGAAAGGUCUAGAGAAGAAAGUCCUAAAUAACAUGGUGAAUUAAAAAAAAAAAAGAUAAUUGCUGGAGUAUCAUCACAGAAUGGCCUGGGUUGAAAAGGACCACAAAGAUCAUCCAGUUUCAACCCCCUGCUAUGUGCAGGGUCGCCAACCACCAGACCAGGCUGCCCAGAGCCACAUCCAGCCUGGCCUUGAAUGUCUCCAGGAAUGGGGCAUCCACAACCUCCUUGGGCAACCUGUUCCAGUGUGUCACCACUCUUUGUGUGGAAAAACUUCUUCCUAAUAUCCAACCUAAACCUCCCCUGUCUCAGUUUAAAACCAUUCCCCCUUAUCCUAUCACUAUCCACCCUUGUAAACAGCCGCUCCCCUUCCUGUUUUUACUCUCCCUUCAAGUACUGGAAGGCCACAGUGAGGUCUCCCCAGAGCCUUCUCUUCUCCAAACUAAACAAGCCCAGUUCCCUUAACAUUUCCUCAUAGGAGAGGUGCUCCAGCCCUCUGAUCAUCUUAGUGGCCCUCCUCUGGGCCCGCUCCAAGAGUAGUAAGUCAAUAGCUGAAAAGUGAUGUGAAAAAGAAGGCAGCUAGAAGAAAUAAAGGAUUUCUUAAAACCACUCCCACCCAGCAAUGCUGUUUCUUGUAUCUUUAGUUUCAUCUGCUUCUCGAAGUCUAUCUUGCCAAAUAUGCCUACCUUUCAAAAUUACUCCAGCUUCGGAAUGAAAGUGUCAGCAGUUGCAAGACUCUUGAGGAAAAGCACAGCUUCCCUGGAGAAGAUGAUCCCUAUGCCUGAGACAACACUGCUUGUGAAUUCCUAUGCUGAGUGAAUUUCAAAGUUCUAGUUUCCCUACUUUGGGCAGCCACAUCACUCUUCUGUUUUCCUGCAGGAAACAUUGGACUGAGAUUCAUAGCCUUGUUCAUGCUUCCCCAUAUCUUAUGUUUUUCCACUUAGAGAGUUUGGUGUCAGCAAAAUCAAAGAAAAUCUCUGAAUAAUUGGCAUUGAUAUAUUCUUUUUUUUUUUUUUUGUCACUAUGCUAUUUGCAAAAUGAUUGUCAAUGCAGUACAUGAUCUUUUGUCAAAAAACCCUGCAGUUAAAAGUUUCAUUUAUUAUGCACUGACUGAAGCUUAUACCUAUCUCAGCUGCAUUUAAUGCUACCUUUGUGUUGUUAAUUAAUCUGAGAAGAGUUCCCAUUUUUUCCAAAAGACUGUAAAUGGCCUCUUGUAACCGUUUAGCAGAGAAUGACCUCCUACAAGCUCCUUUUGCUGCAUCUGCACAAUGCUGCUGAGAGGGAACUGCUGGUUGCAAAGAGGAAAUACAGCAAAGCUGGACAGUUGUACUGCAGCCCAGAGAGAAGUGCUGUGUAAUGCCAGUAUAACUAGAAAGAUGAAGUCCUCUGCAAACCAACUGUUGAGUGUCAGCAGUUCAUGCUAGCAGAACUUCUGCCAGUAAAACUGCCUUCCUCUCAAACAAGGCCAGCAACAAAAGCACACAGAAAGAUACAGGUUUAUGGGAAUAUCUGUAGGGUGCUGGUGAGGAGGGCAACUGGGCUCUCUCCUUGACUCUUACACUGCUGUCCCUGUACAAACAGCUCCAAGGACGCCUGCCCACCAGGGUCCUGAUGCCAUGUGCCUGGCCACUGCUGGGCUUGUUUGAACCAGAAAGUUUUACUGGCAGAAGUUCUGCUGGCAUGUGCUGUAGCCAUUGCUGUGUUGGCAGGAUGCGCCACAUUUGGCUGUUUUUAAAGAUGCAAGAUGUCCUCAGAACAUCAGGCUUUUAUCAGCAGAGGAUGACAGCAUUAUGGAAUGCUAACCCAGAUUACCUUGUGCAAUGUUUGGUAGGUUGCCUUCUGGUAAUUACUUGCAGCAUAUUGUGGAGCUGCUGUUGUAUAUUGUGAGAUACCAUCAGUUCCAUCAUAAAAUCUGUGUAAAUAUUGGGUCAGAUUUUCAAAAAUUUUUCGAUCUUGUGCAAUUGCCUAUUUUUACAUGUGCUGUUUUCCCAUAUUGCAGAUUUCUCAUUGCCAGAACCCCAGAUUGUAUCAAACAGCAUCACUCUCUUGUUCAUUUAGGGCAGAUGUAAGCAUUCUUUCUUAUCUAAAGAGCAGCCUAAAGUAUUGGGUACUGGGGACAAGUGGAACAUAGAGACAGUGAAUAGAAGCUGUUUGCAGUAAGUGUUUGCUAAACUACUUUACAAGAACAACUUGUAGUUUUGAUCCAUACUGUGAGCACUGGAAGAGAGAAACAUUCAGUGUUGGAUGUUAAACCCAUGCCAACAUAUCCACUCUGAUUUAGGAGCUGCUUAAUGAGGAGACAGGAGAACUAGGUGGUGCCAACUUUUUGGAAAGCUGUGCUGAUGUGGGCAUUUUGGCAUUACUUGGGGAGCUAUCUCCAGUGAGGUACAUAAAGUUAAGUUUUUCCUGCUGCACACUCUUUUUAUGCUGGGUGACAUACUGAAAAUAAGAGAUGAACCUGAUGCAAUGGACUUUGCUAGCUGUGGGGGAACAGUAAAUAAGGUUUAUAUCCAAUUCUGUCCUAUCUUGUUUUGAAUACAUAAAAUGAAAGCAGUGCUUCUCCAUGGUGAUCUCUCUAGACAGUAUUUUACAUCAGUGUUGCUUGGGAGAAAGUCCAUGCUUGCCUCCCCAUCUAUCCUGUUGUUAUUAAUGAUGUUACAUAGCCAACUCUGGCAACAGAGACAAGGCAGGUUUGGCAAACUGUAGGUAAAAAAAACAAAACAUUGUAACAGGAAAAAAUAACAGAAUUAUCCACCAAGUCACAAAACUCUGUAAUUUUGUAGUCUCCUGCAACAAAGAAACAAACAAACAAAAAAACACAUAGGGUUUCACAGGGUUCCUUCAUUUGCUGAGUGUAAUUUUGUCCUUUCCAAAUUCAGUGCAAAGUCAGUUAUAGGGUUUUGGGUUUUCCCAUGAUGCUUCCAGGUAUUACAGACACGUGCAUUGCAUAAGUAGCCCUUGUAUACAUAGAAUAUAUAGAUGGCUGGAAGAUUCCUAGAGCUUAGAGACCACAGGUAUGUGUGGAACCUGCAGAUCUGCAUAGAAAGCCACACAUGUAACCAGAGUACCUGCACAAUGACCCUGACAUGGUAUGGACAUAUAGCACCUGUGGUUUGCAGGCAGGCAGCAUACAUUCAGUAAGUGCAAUGUGUUCUGGACACAUCCAUUUUAUCACACGUUCACAGAUACUCUGCUUAACACAUGCACAGAAGAUCUGGCAUGUCUGUGUAUGUGCUGGGCAGCACAUGGACUGAUAAUUCUGUGUUAGAUUUCAUGGCUAUAAUUCAGAAAGUCCAAGCUGAACUAUUUACUGAAAACAUAUACUCACUCAUUUGGAACUGCUGUUCCUAAAAAUCAUCUGAAGCAACUUGAGUUUGUUCCAAUGAUACUACAUUUUACUGGUUUAAAGUAAGUGUGUUCUGUAAAUGAUGAAAGUGCUCACUCAUUGAUUUGCAAAUGCCGUCUUUGUGAUCUGUGAAAGUCCUGGUUUUGACUUCUUGGACUUUCACCCGAUACUGACAUUUCAAUAUUCUUAAAAUACAUUUCCCCUUUCCUCCCACCAGCAGCUGAUAGAUUCAAUGUGAUAGGAGAAUGUGUUAGGAGGAAAGGCAAGGAAUGCUUAUUUAUAAACUUUUGACAAAGUAAACCCCAUCACUAUGUUAAUGGACCAGCCAUAUCACAGUGAAUACCCUUCCUGAAUCAGCUACCUGUUUGGGGAGCUUCCUAAGGGGUUCUGUAUCUCAUUAGUUUUACUCUAGCUAUGCCUUCUCCCCAAAAACCCAUUCCAAUUUAUCCUUUUCUUAGUAUCCUUCACCAUGGACAUAUGUCAAUGAUGAGAGCAGUAUCCCAACUAUUAUGCGGUCUAAUGAAUGCACAAUCAUAGUGAGGAGUGCAUGACAAGCUGGUCAUAAAAGGAACACCUUGGGGGAGUAAGCUUAGGGAAUUUAUUGCAGGAAGAGAAACUGCCUUUUAUUCUUCUUCACCUGACACUAGUUCUUAUCUCUACUUUUAGGUUUUCCGUUGGUGGUGGCUUCCACUACCUUACCAUUUCCCUUCUUUCUGCAAAGAUGAAAUCCCGCUGAGCCAUCUCUCUAGGCUGGACACUCCCAGCUCUCAACCUUUCCUCAUAGGAAAGAUGCUCCAGUCCCUUAAUCACAUUAGUGGUCCUUUGCUAUAUGUAUGUCUAUAUGUCCAAGUCCAGUAUGUCCAUGCCUUUCCUAUACUGGGGAGCCCAUGACUGGACCUAGUACUCCAGGUGAAGCCUCACCAGUACCCAGCACAGGAGAAAAAUCACCUCCCUCAACUUACUGGCAACACUCUUCCUAAUGCAGCCCAGGAGGCUGUUGCCCUUCUUUGUGGCAAGGGCAUAAUGCUAGCUCAUGUUCAAAUUGGUGCCAUCAGAAUCCCCACGGUUUUUUCUGCCAAGUUGCUAUCCAGCCAGUAGGCCCCCAGCAUGCUGUGGUCCCCCUGUGUGGGACUUUAUAUUUUCCUUUUUUGAACUUGUUGAGAGCUAUUUCAUAGAAUCAUAGAAUCAUAGAAUCGCUAAGGUUGGAAAAGACCCACAGGAUCAUCCAGUCCAACCAUUCGCCCUUCACCAAUGGUUCUCGCUAAACCAUGCCCCUCAAUACAACAUCCAAAUGCUCUUUGAACACCACCAGGCUCGGUGGCUCCACCACCUCUCUGGGCAGCCCAUUCCAGUGCCUGACCACCCUUUCAGAGAAGUAGUAUUUCCUAACGUCCAGCCUGAAUCUUCCCUGGUGCAGCUUGAAGCCAUUCCCUCU